AUUGAGGAGAAAGAAUGAUCUAAAACCCAACAUAACUUUUUCUCUUCUCCUCUAUUAUUCAAAAUGUAGUGCCGCAAUUCUUGAUGAAGUAAACGCCAUGAGAUUAUUUGAAGUCAACAAUCUAAUUUAUCAGAAGCAUUCUAUUCGGUCUCAACAUCAACUUGUUAAUAUCGAUUGUCCUCUUAAGUGCAAUUAGUUCUUUAUAGCUUUCUUUUUCUUUGUCAGUUAAUUUACUCCCUUAAUUGUCAUAUUAUUCCAGUCAUCUAAGAUAGCCAAAUAAAUAUCCAAGUAACGAUAUUUAUUUGGUUAACUUAGAUGAAUGAGAUAAUGUUUUAAUUAGAGAGUAAAUUGGCCGACAAAUAUAAAGCAAGCCGCAAGGAAUUUGUGGCAAUUAAAAGGUCAAUCGUUACUAAGAAGUAUUUGGAUGUUGACACCGAGGAGAAUGCUACUAAUAAUAUAAAAUAUUGUUGGCAAGGGAGUCGAAAGACUGCUAAGGCUAAGCGUGAUGCCGGAGAGAAGCCCAAAAUGCCUCCAAGGAGGCAUCCUCCACUAUGGUAUCGUUCGCUUGUUUCCUCUUCAUUCAUAUAGGCCACACUCUCCUUCCCAUCCCUGUACUCUAUUUUCGUCACAAACUUGGAUGAAACAUUGAUGUAGUGAACUGAUCAAUAAAGUCCUUAUAUUAUUCUCUUUAA